AUGGGGGUGCUUGUAAUGGGUCAGGGUUUUAUGUGGACCUGACAACUAGGUUGGAAAGAAGCGGGGGAAGGUUACCGACAGAAGCAGAGAGAGGAAGACAGGAAGAAAAGAGGAAGAGAAUGAACGGAAGAAGAGGCGUUGAGGGGAAGUGAAGGCUCAGUAAGAAGCAGAGACGCGGGGGAGACGGCUCCUGGCUUGGGCGAUGCACAGAAAAAGAAUGAAAGCUGCUGCGUGAGAGAAAUCAGGAAGGAAUCAGCAUAAAGGUGAUCUGCAGAACCUUCCAGGAGAGAGAAGACAUUGCAUGUAGACAAGGUACAGGACGUUAUUGUGAAGAAUGAGUGAGACGGGAGACCACGGAAACUCUAAGAUGGUUACAGACGAGCAGAGACCCAGCGACACUCAAACCGAGUCGCCGCCGAGCCCCCACAAUUCGAGGAACUGGAGAGCGUUUUCCUAGAUAACGCAAGUGCAUCUACAGAGAUUAUAGGAGAUGGCCAGAGACCCUGGAAAUCUGCUCCGCCAUCCCCGUCCUGUGAAAGACGAGGCUUUUCAGCCUCAAUGCUCUCACUACACACAGAAGAAUUUCUUGAGCUCCUCUCCACCGCACAGACCAGACGUCUGGAUGAGCAGAGAGCAACGCUGCCCGAUCGCGUUCUCCCACCCAAAAGACACUUCUCGGUGCCCAAUCGCCGCCAAUUUUCCCUCCCAUCUGACGAAAAAGGAAUUGUCACAGAGUUGCGGCGCAGGAGGGGGACAUCUUGGGCUGGACGGAGUCAAAGGAAGAAACCUCCAUCAAUCAAAAUUCCAGCCCAGGAGGAUCUGUACAACACCAUCUUAGGUCAUCAGUCUCAGCGAAUGAAUGACCAACGCAGCUCUCCCCCAAUUCCUCAAGCUGCUGCAGAUCUGUUUGAGAUUUUAUUCCGCCUUCAGGGGAAUCGGCUGGAUGAACAAAGAGUGGAACUGCCUGAGGCACUGGGGGGCGCAUGCUCUUAAGAAAAAAGGGUUUGCUCUACCCUCUACCCAAAAUCACCUGUCCCACCGCAUCCAACUUCUACAUUGUAAAGUUGUCUCUUAAUGGACAGAAGACGGUUUCCUUUAUUUUGACCACUGUACAAGGUGGAAGAAGUGGAAACCAAGAAGGAACUGAACCACUUUUUUCUGGGUUGCUUUUAUGAGAAAGAAUGGUGAAGAUAUUUUUUUUUUACCAAUCGGGGUCAAAAUUAACUAUGCAUAAAGUCUGUGCCUUUAAGAAAUAUUUGGUUGAGCCGAUCUGAUCUUCCAGCUAAGGAGGAGAAGUCUUGUAUCCUUCUUGGAUCUUCUAGAGAAGAUCUGGAGUGGAGUCUAGAGAACAAUGAACUGAAUAAUAAGUACCUGGCUUGCAGCUUAUAAACAGUUGACUUUUUAUGCAGACAAACGAGGCCUGUGCCUAAGGUGGCCAUAUCAGAAGGCAGGAAAGAUCUUCAAUUUUUUUACAUUUUGGUUGUUCAUUUUUUGAAAAUUUGAUGGAAGAUUAUAAGAUAUCUGGGUCUAAGUGUGCUUUGUACCAUUGCUUUGAAAGCCUAACUUCAAUUGCUCAUAAUCUGUAUUUCUUUUGUUAAGUCACAAGAGGAUAAAGAAUCACCUGGGACCAAACAUGAGCCCUCUAACCUAUCCUAGCACAUAUCACUCCAGUACCAUUUUUGCUUUUGCAAGCUAUCCAACUGAACUUGAAGGAGAGCUGUAAUUGAUCAAGGGAAUGUGAGACCUUGGUCACCUCCCUGAUGGUCAAUCCACCCUCUGCUCUAGGUAUAUUCUGGACAACGUAGUACUUCAAGUUGCUUUUAGCGAGUGAUCACAGCGUACAGCACCGUUGAGUGGUGACCAGCCGUUACCUGCUGUAUUGUACACUGCCUUUCUUUGCUGCACAGACUUGGCUAUUGUAGUAUAUUGUAUGAGGCUGAUGUAAUAGGGUUUUCACAUUAGGCGGUAUAACUAUUCUUAGGAUACCAAAUUUUACACGUUUCAUGUCAUUAUUAAAUCGACUCUUAUUUUUCAACCACUAGUUUUAAGUGAAUUGUCCAUUGUUCCUACUUACACCGAGCAGAGGUUUAGUUUUGUAGAUGACGUACGCUUGACUACGGCCCCGUCUGUUCUGAUUCUCCGUUCUGCUGGUCUCCUAUCUCCCAGGAACUCGGUGUAUAGAUGAUACAUGCUGGGAGAUGUAGUGUUUACACCAAUGUAGAAAGAAAAUAUGUCCCAGAAUGCAGUGCACCAUGGAAUCUCACCUACGCUGCUAUGGGUAUAUCUGUCAGUACAUGUAGCAAUGGAGUGCAUUAGGCACAUUGGAAUCCACCAUAGGGCGGCUAUGGCACAGCACUGUGUCUUUUAUGAACGGAAGCCACAAUGAAGGUGAGAACAAAGCCUUACCUACGUAGACUAAAAAUGAAAGUUUUCUAAAUCGGCCAGGUUUCUUCAUGGUGCAUCAAGAUGAAAGUUGCAUUUUCAUCUUUAUUUCUUAGUCAGCACUUUCUCCAUCUUAAUAUAGUUUAAUUAAUCUGAUUACUAUAGCAUUGCGUUGUCCUGCAUUAGUCAUCAGAUUUUUUUUUUUAUUAAUUAAUGCAGAAUUCUCUUCUCGUACAUCUUCUGAGAUUUACGUUAGAUCUGCCAAAUUGUAGUUUUAUAACAACUUACAUCCUAAACAAAUAAGAAUUCUACCUACCCAGCUAAUAACUAGAAGCUUCUGUAGUUUUCAUUAUACCGGGGGCAGACUGAACUGUUGGACUACCAUAUAGGUUGUGGAUCACCUCUGGCUGGAUUUGGGAGAAAUACUGCAGCACUCGAUGUCUUCAAUGCAAUUCUUAAUUUAUUCACCAAGAAGGCGACAUUUCCACUACAAUGAAAAAGGAAUUGCAUUGAAGACAUCGCGUGCUGCAGUAUUUCCGCCAAAUCCUUGGUGAUCAGGGGACGGCUGGGCUAAGGUCUAACACUGCCGCCACCGCCACUUCAUGGACUGUCCGAUUUGGACCUAACGGUAGUGCUGCUUCAUUUAGUCAUUUGGCUGCCAUACUUUCCACUCCAUUGAAGCAGAAUUAUAACCGUGUUUUAAUACUUUUUGCAAUGAUGGAAUGGUGAACGCACUCUUUAAUGGAUUGUCCUGUUCAGACAAACCGUUUAGAACAAAACACCAAUGAUGAGCAGAUUGCGAGGUGUUCUGUUGCUGCCGUUUCCAGGUUAGGCUGUAAUUCCUCAUUGAAUUCAAUGGUCUGUUGACGUACAGCUGAGAUGAGCCGGAUUCUCCUGCUGCUGUUUGUAGUAGAUCUCCGCCAUGACUGAUAGGUGGAGUCCUGAGUGGGAUACUUAAUCUCUGCUAUGUCCAGCUCUCCAUACAUAAGGUAGCCCCCUCUGCAAUAGGAGACACUGUGAGAUUUUACAGUGCUAUAUAGGCAGUUGCAUAGGCCACCACUGAUUGCAUUUUUACAUUCCAAAUGUACUGUUUUGUAUCUGCUAUAAAAUCUGAUCAAUAAAGGCAAAUGUUUUAAUACA